rnacentral:rRNA from 1 species
UACGGGGGGGGCAAGCGUUGUUCGGAAUUACUGGGCGUAAAGGGCUCGUAGGCGGCCAACUAAGUCGGACGUGAAAUCCCUCGGCUUAACCGGGGAACUGCGUCCGAUACUGGAUGGCUUGAAUUCGGGAGAGGGAUGCGGAAUUCCAGGUGUAGCGGUGAAAUGCGUAGAUAUCUGGAGGAACACCGGUGGCGAAGGCGGCAUCCUGGACCGAGAUUGACGCUGAUGCGCGAAAGCCAGGGGAGCAAACGGG